CAUCAUUCCCACUUGGGUAGACCUGCCAAGGUAGAAAACAAAUCUAGCUUAAUUCAAGCUAGUCGACACAUUUUAAAAUAAUAAAUUCAAUGAUUCAGGUCUUCUUAGAGGUAGACUGCUCAUGAUUUACCUGCCAUUCUGUCAACCAGAAACCCAAACACUGAAGCAAAUCCAGCCAAAAACUGGAAUCAUUGCCGCCACCUGGCUGCUCCUGCUAAGAAACAUUACACUUUUAAAUACAAGCCAUUUUUUUCAAAAUAUUUUACAAACAUUAACAUUUUCAGUACCAGGAAUCCAUUGCUGGCACAAGUUCAUUAGGACAAAACCAAGCUUACCAGAGUUUUGAAGUUCAGCUUUGUAAAUCCUUACAACGAAGUUGAAGACCAUUCUUGUGAAAAGCACCCUUUACAAGUAUAUAGGACAAAACUUCCUC